rnacentral:rRNA from 1 species
CCUACGGGUGGCAGCAGUAGGGAAUAUUGCUCAAUGGGGGAAACUCUGAAGCAGCAACGCCGCGUGGAGGAUGAAGGCUUUCGGAUUGUAAACUCCUUUUGUUAUAGAAGAAAAUGACUGUAUCUAACGAAUAAGCACCGGCUAACUCCGUGCCAGCAGCCGCGGUAAUACGGAGGGUGCAAGCGUUAUUCGGAAUCACUGGGCGUAAAGGGAGCGUAGGUGGGAUAGCAAGUCAGAUGUGAAAUCCUAUGGCUUAACCAUAGAAUUGCAUUUGAAACUGUUAGUCUAGAGUAUAGGAGAGGUAGGUGGAAUUCUUGGUGUAGCGGUAAAAUGCGUAGAGAUCAAGAGGAACACUCAUUGCGAAGGCGACUUGCUAGAAUAUAACUGACGCUGAGGCGCGAAAGCGUGGGGAGCAAACAGGAUUAGAUACCCGUGUAGUC